rnacentral:rRNA from 1 species
GACGAACGCUGGCGGCGUGCUUAACACAUGCAAGUCGAACGGUAAGGCCCUUCGGGGUACACGAGUGGCGAACGGGUGAGUAACACGUGGGUGAUCUGCCCUGCACUCUGGGAUAAGCCUGGGAAACUGGGUCUAAUACCGGAUAUGACUACAUGCUGCAUGGUGUGUGGUGGAAAGAUUUAUCGGUGCAGGAUGGGCCCGCGGCCUAUCAGCUUGUUGGUGGGGUAAUGGCCUACCAAGGCGACGACGGGUAGCCGACCUGAGAGGGUGACCGGCCACACUGGGACUGAGACACGGCCCAGACUCCUACGGGAGGCAGCAGUGGGGAAUAUUGCACAAUGGGCGGAAGCCUGAUGCAGCGACGCCGCGUGAGGGAUGAAGGCCUUCGGGUUGUAAACCUCUUUCAGCAGGGACGAAGCGUGAGUGACGGUACCUGCAGAAGAAGCACCGGCUAACUACGUGCCAGCCGCCGCCGUAACAC